rnacentral:rRNA from 1 species
UACGGAGGGUGCAAGCGUUAUCCGGAUUUAUUGGGUUUAAAGGGUCCGUAGGCGGAUCUGUAAGUCAGUGGUGAAAUCUCACAGCUUAACUGUGAAACUGCCAUUGAUACUGCAGGUCUUGAGUAAGGUAGAAGUAGCUGGAAUAAGUAGUGAAGCGGUGAAAUGCAUAGAUAUUACUUAGAACACCAAUUGCGAAGGCAGGUUACUAUGUCUUAACUGACGCUGAUGGACGAAAGCGUGGGGAGCGAACAGG